CCUACGGGUGGCAGCAGUGGGGAAUAUUGCACAAUGGGGGGAACCCUGAUGCAGCAACGCCGCGUGGGUGAAGAAGUACUACGGGAUGUAAAGCCCUGUCAGCAGGGAAGAAAAUGACGGUACCUGACCAAGAAGCCCCGGCCAACUACGUGCCAGCAGCCGCUGGAAUACGUAGGGGGCAAGCGUUAUCCGGAUUUACUGGGCGUAAAGGGAGCGUAGACGGCAAGGCAAGUCUGGGGUGAAAGCCUGUGGCUCAACCCCGGGUCUGCUUUGGAAACUGUGUUGCUGGAGUGCAGUAGGGGUAAGCGGAAUUCCUAGUGUAGCGGUGAAAUGCGUAGAUAUUAGGAGGAACCCCGGUGGCGAAGGCGGCUUACUGGACUGUAACUGACGUUGAGGCUCGAAAGCGUGGGGAGCAAACAGGAUUAGAUACCCUUGUAGUC
rnacentral:rRNA from 1 species